AGUCGGGCACAUGGUCCAGUAUUUUGACACGAUGAUCCGUCUAGCAGCGUUCCUGGCAGCCGUCGUGACGGCGGGGGCUAUUGUUUGUACCCCUGACAUGUGUGAUGGGGUAGAGAAGACGCCCCUCACUUGCCCGGGGUCCGUCAUCGAGGGAGGGGGCUUCUGUGGCUGUACAGACACCUGUGCCAAGGUAGAAGGAGACUUAUGCCAGAAGUCCUCCCUGUUGACGGGGCCGCUCCCCGCACGACCAGUGUGACACGGGUCUCGUGUGCGACUCCGUCGGUAGUGCCUUCCUGGAUCUGUUUGGGAAAGGCAAAUGCGUGAAAGACACACAAAGCAAACGUUUUGUCUUUGACGGAUCUGAGACCAAAUGCCAGCACUUGGCGUACUCGCAGAUGAUGUCCAUGCAAUAUGGGACAACCCAGUGGCAAGCAGACUGUGAUACUGAUGGUAACUUCCGACCCAUGCAGUGCGACAUCGGGGGUCUCUGUUUCUGUGUGAACUCCACCACUGGGGACAUACAAACCGGCAAGAUCCAUGGCCAUGUUGACUGUCCUCCAGACUAGCCGCGCAACCUUCGUGUACUUCACAGAAAUAAACACAUCUUUAUUCCA